ensembl:lncRNA
GGGCUCUGUUUAAUAUUUAAAAUUUGUAUUAUAAAAAUAAAAGGCAGCUUUAUCAAACAGGGGAGCCUGAACAACAAACACGAUUCUAAUGCUUUUGAUAAGAUAGGUGUCGGUUCUGUUGAUAGGUGUCGGUUCUGUUGAUUGGUGUCGGUUCUGUUGCUAGGUGUCGGUUCUGUUGAUAGGUGUCGGUUCUGUUGAUAGGUGUCAGUUCUGUUGCUAGGUGUCGGUUCUGUUGAUAGGUGUCUGUUCUGUUGCUAGGUGUCGGUUCUGUUGAUAGGUGUCGGUUCUGUUGAUUGGUGUCGGUUCUGUUGAUAGGUGUCGGUUCUGAUGGGCAUAAAAGCUAAGACAUUUCAAGUUGUG